rnacentral:rRNA from 1 species
AGUGAACGCUGGCGGUAGGCCUAACACAUGCAAGUCGAACGGCAGCAUCGUAAGAGCUUGCUCUUACGAGUGGCGCGUGGCGGACGGGUGCGGAAUACAUCGGAAUCUACUCUUUAGUGGGGGCUAAUGUAGGGAAACUUACGCUAAUACCGCAUUCGUCCUACGGGUGAGAGCAGGGGAUCUUCGGACCUUGUGCGAUUGAAUGAGCCGAUGUCGGAUUAGCUAGUUGGCGGGGUAAAGGCCCACCUAGGCGACGCUCCGUAGCUGGUCUGAGAGGAACAUCAGCCACACGGUAAGUGAGACACAGUCCAGACUCCUACGGUAGGCAGCAGUGGGGAAUAUUGCGCAAUGGACGCAAGCCUGAUCCAGCCAUACCGCGUGGAGGAAGAAGGACUUCUGGUUGUAAAGCCCUUAUGUUGGGAAAGAAAAGCAGCAGGUUAAUACCCCGCGAUACUGACGGUACCCAAAGAAUAAGCACCGGCUAACUUCGUG